rnacentral:rRNA from 1 species
GUAAAGCGCAUUCACUGGUGAAGAUGAUGACGGUAGCCAGAGAAGAAGCCCCGGCUAACUCCGUGCCAGCAGCCGCGGUAAUACGGAGGGGGCAAGCGUUGUUCGGAAUUACUGGGCGUAAAGGGCGCGUAGGCGGAACAUUAAGUUAGGGGUGAAAGGCCUGGGCUCAACCUGGGAACGGCCUCUAAGACUGAUGAUCUCGAGUCCGGAAGAGGAUGGCGGAAUUCCCAGUGUAGAGGUGAAAUUCGUAGAUAUUGGGAAGAACACCGGUGGCGAAGGCGGCCAUCUGGUCCGGCACUGACGCUGAGGCGCGAAAGCGUGGGGAGCAAACAGGAUUAGAUACCCUGGCAGUCCACGCCGUAAACGAUGUGUGCUAGCCGUUGGGGCACUUGGUGUCUCGGUGGCGCAGCUAACGCGAUAAGCACACCGCCUGGGGAGUACGGUCGCAAGAUUA